UGCAAAUUCAGGAAAAAAAGAGGGCAUCGGAAGCAUGUAGGACGCAAAGGAGGUAAUCCAGCAGUAAUGGCAGCUCCUCUCCGAGGUUAUUCCGUGAGACAAUUCCUGGCUGCAACUUCUCUACUUCCGAAGCUAGCAGUGACAAAAAUCAGCUUUCCAUCUUUCAAAUUUGCGAAGUCCCAGGUCUGAAUAUAACAUGAGGAAAUAAAUGCUUAGAGAAAAACACGGAAGAUGAUAUAAAGAAAGGAGGGAGGUUUUCACUUGGCUUCAGAAUUCCAUCAAGUCAAAAAUUCACAGGUCUUCAGAUCAAGAACUGCACUUAAGGAGCUAUACUUUUGGACCUACAUCUGAGAAGUCUUAUCUAUACCUGAACUUGAUUUCUAUGAUGAGAUUCUGAACUUUGAGGUGAUGGUGUAAUGAAAUGAGACUUUUGGGAACCUUAGGAGGAAGUGAGUACAUUUUGUAUGCAGGAGCAACAUGGAUCCUAGGGGACCACAAAG